rnacentral:rRNA from 1 species
UAGGGAAUAUUAGUAAUGGGCGAAAGCCUGAACUAGCAACACCGCGUGUGCGAAGAAGGCCUUCGGGUUGUAAAGCACUUUUUGAGAGGAUGAGGAAGGACGGUACUCUCAGAAUAAGUCUCGGCUAACUACGUGCCAGCAGCCGCGGUAACACGUAGGAGGCAAACGUUAUCCGGAUUUACUGGGCGUAAAGCGCGUGUAGGUGGUUCUGUAAGUAGGGCGUGAAAGCUCCUGGCUCAACUGGGAGAGGCCGUUCUAAACUACAGAGCUAGAGGAUGGUAGAGGGAGGGGGAAUUCCAGUUGUAGCGGUGGGAUGCGAAGAUAUCUGGAGGAACACCAGUGGCGAAGGCGGCCUCCUGGACCAUUCCUGACACUCAGACGCGAAAGCUAGGGUAGCAAACG